UACGUAGGGUGCAAGCGUUAAUCGGAAUUACUGGGCGUAAAGCGUGCGCAGGCGGUUUUGCAAGACCGAUGUGAAAUCCCCGGGCUCAACCUGGGAACUGCAUUUGUGACUGCACGGCUGGAGUGCGGCAGAGGGGGAUGGAAUUCCGCGUGUAGCAGUGAAAUGCGUAGAUAUGCGGAGGAACACCGAUGGCGAAGGCAAUCCCCUGGGCCUGCACUGACGCUCAUGCACGAAAGCGUGGGGAGCAAACAGG
rnacentral:rRNA from 1 species